UACGUAGGGUGCGAGCGUUAAUCGGAAUUACUGGGCGUAAAGCGUGCGCAGGCGGUCUGUUAAGACAGAUGUGAAAUCCCCGGGCUUAACCUGGGAACUGCAUUUGUGACUGGCAGGCUAGAGUAUGGCAGAGGGGGGUAGAAUUCCACGUGUAGCAGUGAAAUGCGUAGAGAUGUGGAGGAAUACCGAUGGCGAAGGCAGCCCCCUGGGCCAAUACUGACGCUCAUGCAC
rnacentral:rRNA from 1 species